GGAUGUGAGGGCGAUCUGGCUGAGACGUCUGUUACCCCAUUGAUCACCAGGGUUGAUGCAGCUGACCUGGCUGGCUAGGCAUGUGUCCCCUUCUUCUCUCACUGCUCCAUAUGCGUCCCUCCCGAAGCUGCGUGCUGGGUGGAAGAAGACGUCCAUUCCCGAUAGAAGUCCAGCCUUCGAUCACAGGUAUAGGAGUAGUUGUGCUCCCCUGCUAGACUCUUCACACAAGCUCUCAAGAGUAGUUUAGAGCCACGGUUGACUAGGAGUGAGAACGUGGUUGCCACUUACUUGGCGGCAGGCAUGGACACGUGGCACUGCCGGCCUG
rnacentral:snRNA from 1 species